rnacentral:rRNA from 1 species
GUAGGUGGCAAGCGUUGUCCGGAAUUAUUGGGGCGUAAAGCGCGCGCAGGCGGUUCUUUAAGUCCGAUGUGAAAGCCCACGGGCUCAACCGUGGAGGGUCAUUGGAAACUGGAGAACUUGAGUACAGAAGAGGAAAGCGGAAUUCCACGUGUAGCGGUGAAAUGCGUAGAGAUGUGGAGGAACACCAGUGGCGAAGGCGGCUUUCUGGUCUGUAACUGACGCUGAGGCGCGAAAGCGUGGGGAGCAAACAGGAUUAGAUACCCUGGUAGUCCACGCCGUAAACGAUGAGUGCUAAGUGUUAGGGGGUUUCCGCCCCUUAGUGCUGCAGCUAACGCAUUAAGCACUCCGCCUGGGGAGUACGGCCGCAAAGGCUGA